rnacentral:lncRNA from 1 species
GCACAGGCCACAGAGGGGUGGGGCACAGUGUCUGCUUUUUCUCUGGGCGUAGCCCAGGAUUUAGACUCCAGGGAGCUCCCUCAGUUGGGCUCAGAACCUGCGAGGAUGGCAGCGGUGUCCAGCAGUGAAGACUGAAGGUGUCCACAGCUGUGAUAGGGGCUUCUGGGUCCUCUUGCUUGCUUUUCUUCACAGGAAGAAGUCCCUCCUAGCUCCUAGGGGGUUUGAUUGUGAGCGGCAAGGGUGUGGCAGAGUAACCAAAUUCACCCUGUCUGUGGCAAACAAGCGCCACCACUACCAUCCCAGAGUGCCACCAUCUGCACUGACUUGAGGAAUUCCAGUUUGAUGAUAGCAGUUUUCACCCUAACUCUUGACCAGUAAAGAACCACCAUGGAACGCUUCAAGGAUGCUGAGUGCUUCCUUCAUGAAUUUAUUUCCACAUCUUUGAUAAAGGGCAUAUUCUGUUAACCCUCCUCGAGGACACAGGAAGGGGUAGGUGGGCAGGACUUGCAAUAAUCCACUCUAGCACUCCAAUCUCUUUUCUCUACUGUUUAUCAGUCUCCUCUCUCUAUUUGCACUACUUGUUUUGGCAUUCCAACUUCAUUAUUCUAGGUUACUUUGUGGCCACGUUUUAUUCAAGCAACCAAGCAAACUCUUAAAGCCAUUUGCAGCCCUUUGAACUAACGCCUUGAAAUUGGAAUCUCUCCCAAUGAAACCAUAUCAGUAGAACUAUCUUUAUGCAAUUCUACAUUUCUUCCACCUUGAUUCCAUGAUUUGAAUGUCCUCUCCAAACUCAAGUUGAAAUCUAAUCACCAUUGUGGUUGUAUUAAUAAGUGGGACUAUUAAGAGGUGAUAAGGCCAUGAAGGUUCCACCCACAAUAGUGGCUUAAUGUUUUUAUCACAGGAGGGGGUUUGUUUUCACAAAAGUGUGUUGUUAUAAAAGUGAGCCCAGCCCUCAUUAUCUCUUACUUUUACCCUUGCCCUUCUACAAGAGAAGAAUGAAGAAGAAAAAAGAAGGGAUAAUGCAGCAUGAAGGUCCUUGU